UGGGGAAUUUUGCGCAAUGGGGGAAACCCUGACGCAGCAACGCCGCGUGGAUGAUGAAGACCCUUGGGUCGUAAAAUCCUUUCGGCAGGGACGAAACUGGGCAACCAGUUGACGGUACCUGAAGAAGAAGCCCCGGCUAACUCCGUGCCAGCAGCCGCGGUAAUACGGGGGGGGCGAGCGUUGUUCGGAAUUAUUGGGCGUAAAGGGCGCGUAGGCGGUGCGGUAAGUUUGAUGUGAAACCUCCAGGCUUAACUUGGAGCUGGCAUUAAAGACUGCCGUGCUAGAGUGCGGGAGAGGAGAGUGGAAUUCCCGGUGUAGCGGUGAAAUGCGUAGAUAUCGGGAGGAACAUCGGUGGCGAAGGCGGCUCUCUGGACCGCAACUGACGCUGAGGCGCGAAAGCUAGGGGAGCAAACAGGAUUAGAUACCCCCGUAGUCC
rnacentral:rRNA from 1 species